rnacentral:rRNA from 1 species
GAUGAACGCUGGCGGCGUGCCUAAUACAUGCAAGUCGAGCGAAUGGAUUAAGAGCUUGCUCUUAUGAAGUUAGCGGCGGACGGGUGAGCAACACGUGGGUAACCUGCCCAUAAGACUGGGAUAACUCCGGGAAACCGGGGCUAAUACCGGAUAACAUUUUGAACCGCAUGGUUCGAAAUUGAAAGGCGGCUUCGGCUGUCACUUAUGGAUGGACCCGCGUCGCAUUAGCUAGUUGGUGAGGUAACGGCUCACCAAGGCAACGAUGCGUAGCCGACCUGAGAGGGUGAUCGGCCACACUGGGACUGAGACACGGCCCAGACUCCUACGGGAGGCAGCAGUAGGGAAUCGUCCGCAAUGGACGAAAGUCUGACGGAGCAACGCCGCGUGAGUGAUGAAGGCUUUCGGGUCGUAAAACUCUGUUGUUAGGGAAGAACAAGUGCUAGUUGAAUAAGCUGGCACCUUGACGGUACCUAACCAGAAAGCCACGGCUAACUACGUGCCAGCCGCCGCCGUAA